GGGGCGGGCUGGGCCGAGCCACGGGGCUGAAGGGCGGCUGCAACCGUUGUGGGGGGGGUAAAGGGGGUGGGGGGCUCCUGCCGUUGUUUGGGGAGCUUUGGGAGACCCUAAAGUGUGUGCUAUGGGGUCUGGGCGACCCUAAAGUGUGUGCUAUGGGGUCUGGAAGACUCUAGUGUGUGGUGGAGGCCCUGCAGUGUGCUAUGGGGUCUGGGCGACCCUGCAGUGUGCUAUGGGGUCUGGGAGACCCUGUGGUGUGGUGUGGGGUCUGGGAGACCCUACAGUGUGCUAUGAGGUCUGGGAAACCCUAGUGUGUGGUGGAGACCCUGCUGUGUGCUAUGGGGUCUGGGAGGCCCUACAGUGUGCUAUGGGGUCUGGGGGGAGGCCCUACAGUGUGCUAUGGGGUCUGGGAGGCCCUACAGUGUGCUAUGGGGUCUGGGAGGCCCUACAGUGUGCUAUGGGGUCUGGGAGACCCUAGUGUGUGGUGGAGACCCUGCUGUGUGCUAUGGGGUCUGGGAGACCCUACAGUGUGCUAUGGGGUCUGGGAGGCCGUACAGUGUGUAGGAGACCCUGCAGUGUGGUGUGGGGUCUGGGCGACCCUGCAGUGUGCUAUGGGGUCUGGGCGACCCUGCUGUGUGGUAUGGGGUGAUUUUAGGGCUCCUUAAUGCGGUGUGGAGGGGUUGGGGAUCCAUUCGAUGCUGUAUUGAGGGCUGUGGGGCUGCUCAAAGGGCUCCCCGGUGCUGUAUGAGGGGUUUUGGGGUUCUCUGGUGCAGCGUGAGGGAUUUGGGAUUCAAUGUAUUGCCAUAUAAAGGAGCUUGGGGACGCCCUGCUGUGGGAUUUAAGGCUCCCUCGUGGUUCUAUAUGGAGGGGUGGGGGGGAAUGGAGGAAGUUUAGGGUCUCCCCACUGAGCCGAGGGGGUCAGAGUUCCCCUAAAGCCUUGAGGAGUUUUGGAGUCCCCUUAAUGAGAGGGUUUGGGGUUUUCUUACUGCUGUAUUAUUUUGGGGGCUCCCCCUAAAGCCAAGGGAGCUUCUCUGCUGUGGGGUUUGGGGCUGUGCCACGAGGUCGGGUCCCUGCAGCUCUUGACUCAAGUAGGAGAAGCCCUCCCCUUUAAGCCCCCCACCUCCUUCCCUUUUAAGCCCCCCCCAUCCCUCCCCAUUAAGCCCUCAGCUUGUAGUAUGGCUGCUUUAAAGAGCUGAUUCUGACCGGACCCAAAUGUAGCCUGGAAAAUAGCCCCUGGGCUGAGCAGAUGGGAUUGGGGGGGUGGGGUGGGGGGGCUGCAGGUUUGGAUGUUCUGGAAUGGACUGGAAGGGAGAACCGGCCAUUUUGGGCUGCUCUUAUGUAACUUGGAAGUGAGUCCUUGGAGGGGGGGUGAGAGCCAACCAUUUUGGGCUGAAUUUGUGUCAUUUCGAAUGGAGUCCUUGGGGACCGACAGGAACUGACCAUUUUUGGCUGUUUUUGUGUAACUUGGAAGCAGCUCCUUUUGAGAAGGGAAGAGGGGAGGGGGAGGGGAGGGGGGGGACCGGAAACAGUGAGAACCAACCGUUUUGGCUUGGUUUUAUGUAAUUCCAAGCCCAGCCCUUAGGGACCAGCAGAACUGACCCUUUUUGGCUAUUUUUGUGUAACUCGGAAGUGACUCCUUGGCUGGGGGGGGGGAAGGGGGAGAGGAAGGAAGGGAACCAGUGAGAACCAGCCGGUCUUAGCCUGGCUUUAUGUCAUUCCAAGGCCAGUCCUUGGGGACGUGCAGGAUGUGACCGUUUUGGGUUGGUUUUAUGUAAUUCGGAAGUGACUCUUUGGGCUGUGGUGGGUGAAUGUGAUGCCAGGUCAGGGCACAGCAGUGUUGGUGUUCUUCCUCCCCCCCUCUAAGCCAGCUUGUGGUGAACACCUUCCACUUUCCAGUUUGUUGUUUUUUGGUGUUUUUUCUUUGAAAUGCAAAGGGAUUCAGUUUGUUCCUCACUUCCUGAUGGAAAAAAGUCCAGGGGUUAAGUGCCCUGCCCCAAUUAAAUGGGAGGGUGUGCUGCUAAACAAGCUGAGCUCGGGGUGUGUGGGUUGACCCAAGCUGCUGUUAGCAACUGAGGCUUCUGCAGAGCUGGCAGCCCUGUGUACAGAGGAGGAACUGGCUUCUGGGAGGCUUCCUCUUGGUUUGAGCAAUAA